GCCAGCCGCUCAGAACUUAAAGGAAUUGACGGGGCCCGGCACAAGCGGCGGAGCAUGUGGAUUAAUUCGAUGCAACGCGAAGAACCUUACCUGGGUUUGACAUACACCGGAAAACCGUAGAGAUACGGUCCCCCUUGUGGUCGGUGUACAGGUGGUGCAUGGCUGUCGUCAGCUCGUGUCGUGAGAUGUUGGGUUAAGUCCCGCAACGAGCGCAACCCUUGUCUUAUGUUGCCAGCACGUAAUGGUGGGGACUCGUAAGAGACUGCCGGGGUCAACUCGGAGGAAGGUGGGGACGACGUCAAGUCAUCAUGCCCCUUAUGUCCAGGGCUUCACACAUGCUACAAUGGCCAGUACAGAGGGCUGCGAGACCGUGAGGUGGAGCGAAUCCCUUAAAGCUGGUCUCAGUUCGGAUCGGGGUCUGCAACUCGACCCCGUGAAGUCGGAGUCGCUAGUAAUCGCAGAUCAGCAACGCUGCGGUGAAUACGUUCCCGGGCCUU
rnacentral:rRNA from 1 species